rnacentral:rRNA from 1 species
CGGGGUAUCACGGUAGUAAUACCGGAAGUACCUAGUGGCGAACGGGUGAGUAACACGUGAGCAACCAACCCCAAAGUCAGGGAUAACACCGGGAAACCGAUGCUAAUACCAGAUACCUUCUCGGACUCACCUGAGACCAAGAAGAAAGAUUUAUCGCUUUGGGACGGGCUCGCGGCCUAUCAGCUAGUUGGUGAGGUAACGGCUCACCAAGGCGUCGACGGGUAGCUGGUCUGAGAGGACGAUCAGCCACACUGGGACUGAGACACGGCCCAGACUCCUACGGGAGGCAGCAGUGGGGAAUAUUGCGCAAUGGGCGAAAGCCUGACGCAGCAACGCCGCGUGGAGGAUGAAGGCUCUUGGGUUGUAAACUCCUUUCAGCAGGGAAGAAAUUGACGGUACCUGCAGAAGAAGCCCCGGCCAACUACGUGCCAGCAGCCGCGGUAAGACGUAGGGGGCAAGCGUUGUCCGGAUUUAUUGGGCGUAAAGAGCUCGUAGGCGGCUGAGCAAGUCAGAUGUGAAACCCUCGGGCUUAACCCGAGGCCGCCAUCUGAUACUGCUCUAGCUAGAGUUCGGUAGGGGACCAUGGAAUUCCUGGAGUAGCGGUGAAAUGCGCA